UUGAUCCUGCCGGAGGUUACUGCUAUCGGGGUCCGACUAAGCCAUGCGAGUUGAGAGGGGUAAGCCCUCGGCAUACUGCUCAGUAACACGCGGAUAACCUGCCCUUGGGUCUGGGAUAACCCCGGGAAACUGGGACUAAUACCGGAUAGAUCAGAGAUGCUGGAAUGUUCUCUGGUUCAAAACUCCGGUGCCCAAGGAUGGGUCUGCGGCCUAUCAGGUAGUAGUGGGUGUAACGUACCUACUAGCCAGCGACGGGUAAGGGUUGUGAGAGCAAGAUCCCUGAGAUGGAUUCUGAGACAUGAAUCCAGGCCCUACGGGGUGCAGCAGGCGCGAAAACUUUACACUGCGGGAAACCGCGAUAAGGGGACCCCGAGUGCCAGCACCUAGUGCUGGCUGUCCAGCUGUCUAAAUAACAGCUGUUAGCAAGGGCCGGGCAAGACCGGUGCCAGCCGCCGCGGUAACACCGGCGGCCCGAGUGGUAACCGUUUUUAUUGGGUUUAAAGGGUCCGUAGCCGGCUUAUUAAGUCUCUUGGGAAAUCUGGCGGCUCAAUCGUCAGGCGUCCAAGAGAUACUGGUAGGCUUGGGACCGGGAGAGGUGGGAGGUACUCCAGGGGUAGGGGUGAAAUCUCGUAAUCCUUGGGGGACCACCGAUGGCGAAGGCAUCCCACCAGAACGGGUCCGACGGUGAGGGACGAAAGCUGGGGGCACGAACCGGAUUAGAUACCCGGGUAGUCCCAGCUGUAAACGAUGCUCGCUAGGUGUCAGGUGCGGUGCGACCGCAUCUGGUGCCGCAGUGAAAACUUGAAGCGAGUCACCUGGGAAGUACGGUCGCAAGGCUGAAACUUAAAGGAAUUGGCGGGGGAGCACUACAACGGGUGGAGCCUGCGGUUCAAUUGGAUUCAACGCCGG
rnacentral:rRNA from 1 species